AGCUUCGUGGUCGAAUGGUAAGGACACUUGCUUCUCACCCUGGAAUCCCGGGUUCGAUCCCCGGUCGAGGAGCUA
rnacentral:tRNA from 1 species